UGUAUCUUCUUCCAUUGCAGGUGGAGAGGAAACACAUGGGCAUUUCCUGCAACAGUCUUCUUGAGGUUGGAGGGCAUGUUCGUGCCAAGACGUCUCCUCCUCUGCCCAGGGACUGCAUCAAGCAUCAUCAGCUUUAACAGGGGAAGGAGAGCCACAGGACAGCAGUGAACUUCCAAACAGGGGCAGGUGGGGAUAUGGAGGAGUAAAGCUGCUGAGGACAGUUGACAACCAGUGACUUGCUUGUUUCUAUUGAGAGGACACCUCCUGGUUGAACUGGUUUCAUACUGGGAAUGGUUUGAAGGUCUUGUACAAGAAAGGUGAAGUUUGCCACAGAACAAAAAACUAUGUAGAGGAGAGAUGAAAUCAGGAAUGCUUGGCACAUGGAGAGACAUGAAAGGGGAGAUGCACAUACCCUGUGAAUUUGUUCCCCUGCAUUUUUUCUGCUAAACAUUAUGGGAACUCUGCUGAAGCAGGCAAUCCAGUAGAGAGUGGUAACAAGAUUGGAAAGAAGCAGCAGCCACCCAAGGUCAGCAGAAGCCUUUGGAUGCCAGUGCCAGGAUGGCUCAGCAAAGGUCACCACAAAUGGACAGAGAUGUCUUUUCUGCCAAAGGCUGUUUAGCAUGUGAAACAGGUAGGCUGGAGUCAUCAGGGGAGAUCCAAGGAUGCACCUGGCACCCAGUGAGGCGAGGGAUGCUGAUGUCUGCACUUGGUCAGAAGGAGACAAAGCUCAGCAAAGACAAUGCAGCUGUGUCUGUUGUGUUGGCUUUGCUUCAUUUACAGUGCCUGUUAAUUACACAAGGUCUGUUCAGGGAACAGCCCUCCUUCUGUCCUGCUUCUGUAUAUGCUGGUUUGGCUGUGUUUUCCUCCAGACCUCAGUCCCGGGAUUGGGAGGAACCUAUUAGCUGACUUUUUGCCUGAGAGGGGACCUAAGUCAUGCACAGGAUGUCCAAGGAGCUGGAUGCCACUCAGCUGGUCCUGCCCUUUCUCCUUUUUUCCUCUUUAUGUGUCCAGUGACCAGUUCUCAUUCUGCUUCUAGUUGUGUAAUACCCCUACUUAAAUUGAGCUGUGAAACAACUUCAUUUUGUCUCAAUUCAUACAGGAAAAGAGGAAAAAGUAAUUUCAGAUAUAGCUGCUAGAAACCUGGAUUCUGCAUACUGUAUAUAGUUCCGGAUUUGCCUUUCAAAGGUUUGGAAUUACUAGUGCCAGAGGGAAAGCAAUUCAGAAGUUUAAGACACAGACCUUUGGUUAGUCCCUCUAACUCGAGAGGUUGUAUUUGUUAGACAGCAGUGUGCUGGUUACAAGCUCACUUAGAAAAUGUCUACACAGCUGUUUUCAGACUCCUGGGAUUUAAAACAUUUAAAUAAAGUUUGCUGAAGGCUUUGAG
rnacentral:lncRNA from 7 species